AUUGAACGCUGGCGGCAUGCCUUACACAUGCAAGUCGAACGGCAGCACGGGGCAACCUGGUGGCGAGUGGCGAACGGGUGAGUAAUGCAUCGGAACGUACCUUUCAGUGGGGGAUAACGUAGCGAAAGUUACGCUAAUACCGCAUAUUCUGUGAGCAGGAAAGCAGGGGAUCGCAAGACCUUGCGCUGAUUGAGCGGCCGAUGUCGGGUUAGCUAGUUGGUGAGGUAAAGGCUCACCAAGGCGACGAUCUGUAGCGGGUCUGAGAGGAUGAUACGCCAGUCUGGAACUGAGAGCAGGUCCAGACUGCUACGGGAGGCAGCAGUGGGGAAUUUUGGACAAUGGGGGCAACCCUGAUCCAGCCAUGCCGCGUGAGUGAAGAAGGCCUUCGGGUUGUAAAGCUCUUUCGGCCGGGAAGAAAUCGCACAGGCUAAUACCCUGUGUGGACGACGGUACCGGAAUAAGAAGCACCGGCUAACUACGUGCCAGCCGCCGCGGUAACAC
rnacentral:rRNA from 1 species